rnacentral:rRNA from 1 species
CAGUCGCCGCGGUAAUACGUAGGUGGCAAGCGUUGUCCGGAAUUAUUGGGCGUAAAGGGCUCGCAGGCGGUCUCUUAAGUCUGAUGUGAAAGCCCCCGGCUCAACCGGGGAGGGUCAUUGGAAACUGGGAAACUUGAGUGCAGAAGAGGAGAGUGGAAUUCCACGUGUAGCGGUGAAAUGCGUAGAGAUGUGGAGGAACACCAGUGGCGAAGGCGACUCUCUGGUCUGUAACUGACGCUGAGGAGCGAAAGCGUGGGGAGCGAACAGGAUUAGAUACCCCCGUAGUCCCUGUCUCUUAUAA